rnacentral:rRNA from 1 species
UACGUAGGGUGCAAGCGUUGUUCGGAAUUACUGGGCGUAAAGGGCGCGUAGGCGGGCCCGUAUGUCGAUUGUGAAAGCCCAGGGCUCAACCUUGGAAUUGCAGUCGAAACUGCGGGUCUUGAAUGCCUGAGGGGAUGGCGGAAUUACCGGUGUAGAAGUGAAAUUCGUAGAUAUCGGUAAGAACACCUGAGGCGAAGGCGGCUAUCUGGCGGUGCAUUGACGCUGAGGCGCGAAAGCGUGGGGAGCAAACAGG